CAGGAUUGUCGUCCUUCGGAGUGCGUGUCUUCAAUUCCGUAGUGCAUUGCAGUGUUUGUAGCAGCAGUCUGCAAGCAGUGCGGAAGUGAGGAUUCGUCUCUGCUAUCCUUCAAGCGUGUUC
rnacentral:pre_miRNA from 15 species